rnacentral:rRNA from 1 species
CCUACGGGGGGCAGCAGUGGGGAAUAUUGGACAAUGGGCGAAAGCCUGAUCCAGCCAUGCCGCGUGUGUGAAGAAGGCCUUCGGGUUGUAAAGCACUUUCAGUGGGGAAGAAAGCCUUGGGGCCAAUACCCUCGAGGAAGGACAUCACCCACAGAAGAAGCACCGGCUAACUCCGUGCCAGCAGCCGCGGUAAUACGGAGGGUGCGAGCGUUAAUCGGAAUUACUGGGCGUAAAGCGCGCGUAGGCGGUCUGAUAAGCCGGUUGUGAAAGCCCCGGGCUCAACCUGGGAACGGCAUCCGGAACUGUCAGGCUAGAGUGCAGGAGAGGAAGGUAGAAUUCCCGGUGUAGCGGUGAAAUGCGUAGAGAUCGGGAGGAAUACCAGUGGCGAAGGCGGCCUUCUGGACUGACACUGACGCUGAGGUGCGAAAGCGUGGGUAGCAAACAGGAUUAGAUACCCGGGUAGUC